GCCCAGGUGGCGGAACUGGUAGACGCGCACGGUUCAGGUCCGUGUGCCGCAAGGCAUGGAGGUUCGAGUCCUCUCCUGGGCACCA
rnacentral:tRNA from 1 species